AGCGAACGCUGGCGGCAGGCUUAACACAUGCAAGUCGAGCGGGCGUAGCAAUACGUCAGCGGCAGACGGGUGAGUAACGCGUGGGAACGUACCUUUUGGUUCGGAACAACACAGGGAAACUUGUGCUAAUACCGGAUAAGCCCUCACGGGGAAAGAUUUAUCGCCGAAAGAUCGGCCCGCGCCUGAUUAGCUAGUUGGUGAGGUAACGGCUCACCAAGGCGACGAUCAGUAGCUGGUCUGAGAGGAUGAUCAGCCACAUUGGGACUGAGACACGGCCCAAACUCCUACGGGAGGCAGCAGUGGGGAAUAUUGGACAAUGGGCGCAAGCCUGAUCCAGCCAUGCCGCGUGAGUGAUGAAGGCCCUAGGGUUGUAAAGCUCUUUUGUGCGGGAAGAUAAUGACGGUACCGCAAGAAUAAGGAUCGGCUAACUACGUGCCAGCCGCCGCCGUAA
rnacentral:rRNA from 1 species